GGGGUUGUGGCUCGAGGUAGAGCACUCGCCUAGCAUGCGUGAGGCACUGAGUUCGAUUCUCAGCACCA
rnacentral:tRNA from 1 species